rnacentral:rRNA from 1 species
CCUACGGGGGGCAGCAGUGGGGAAUAUUGGACAAUGGGGGCAACCCUGAUCCAGCCAUGCCGCGUGUGUGAAGAAGGCCCUCGGGUUGUAAAGCACUUUCAGUGAGGAAGAACGCCUGGUGGUUAAUACCCAUCAGGAAAGACAUCACUCACAGAAGAAGCACCGGCUAACUCCGUGCCAGCAGCCGCGGUAAUACGGAGGGUGCGAGCGUUAAUCGGAAUUACUGGGCGUAAAGCGCGCGUAGGUGGCUUGAUAAGCCGGUUGUAAAAGCCCCGGGCUCAACCUGGGAACGGCAUCCGGAACUGUCAAGCUAGAGUGCAGGAGAGGAGGGUAGAAUUCCCGGUGUAGCGGUGAAAUGCGUAGAGAUCGGGAGGAAUACCAGUGGCGAAGGCGGCCUUCUGGACUGACACUGACACUGAGGUGCGAAAGCGUGGGUAGCAAACAGGAUUAGAUACCCUGGUAGUC